GGAUUUUCUCCUCUGAUUAUGUCCAACACAGGCUAACGCGAACCAAAGUUUUCUAAAUGUGGUGCUUUUGUAAUUCCAACGACGGCUACGCGAAAUAAACCUUUUUUUUACUGAAAACAUAAUUUUAAUAAACUGGUUAGAAUCGGGUUAUGCGGAUGGAAAGACCCAUAUCUCUGAACCCGAAAAAGGUAUUAACACAAAUUGUAGCAUUUUGGAAAGUGACACUUCACCAUUGGCUCACCUCAUGGCAUUCCCUUGGAUUUACCUGAUGUAUGGAUCAUCAUAGGCACCUUGCCAUAGCAUUCCAGUGAAAUAUGGAACAACUCAUAAUGUUGCGUGCCCAAACGAAGAACCUGCAAUUUGAAGAGUCCGCCUUUAAACGUCUCAAUGAAACCCGCACUGAAUAAGAUAAGAAAAUGUGGUUACGGUCUCUCAUCCCUCAGCAUCAGCACUCAUCAAAAGAUCUUUCAGUGUGGAAGCAUGAUACAAUUUUUUUGGAAUGAAACUUUGAGUAUUCUUUUUGUUUUUGUUUUAGCUGCAAUUCGCAUGUAUAUUUGAGGUACGCAAAACAAAAUGUGGGUCGUUAAAUUGCGUAUUAUAUAGAUUUACUUAUACUUGAAUUUGCUAUUAGGUUAAGCUAAUAUGUAGUACAAAAUAAGAUGAUUAUAGUUGAUAUUUACAUUUCAAAAGAAUAAAUCAGUAAUGAAAUCUGCCUAA